GCAAACGCCCGCCUGCCGGCGCCGCCGGCCCGCCGCCCCUCCAUCGCCUACAAUCUUCUCCAGCCGCCUCCUCCCACCGUCCCUAGCAACCGCCGCCGCCUCCGUCUCCGCCUCUGCCGCCGGCCCGCCGUCUCCCUCGCCGCCUUCCUCACCACCUCCGUCCCCGCCUACGUCACGGCCUCCGUCGCCGCCUCCAACGCUCGCCCGCUGCUUCCGUCGCAAGAUGAGGCAGAACCCACAAAGCCGAACCCGAGCCCUCCCAUUCGAUUUCAGAAGCCAAACCCAACAUCAACACCGUCGCGCCGCCGCCGCCGCCGCCACCGAGAAAGAGGAGGGAGCGAUUCGCAUCCACCGUCGUCGUCUCCAGGUUUCACGGGAGCAACACGCCAGCGCCGGCUUCCUCUCCCUGCUUCUGCCUCUUGGGGAUUCACCGCCUCCUGCGCCGAGGUCGCACCCUAGGGUUCCACCACCGCCGCGUCGCCGCCAGCGGAGGAGCACUAGGAUAGAGCGAGAUGGCCGGUAGGCUUCUCGCGAAUCUCAUCGUCAUGGGCGAGACCGUGCUGGGCAGCGCCGCGGUUCAGGCGUAUCGUCAAGCCAUCUUCAAUUGCAAACCAAAAGAAGAGGAUUACUUUUAUGCUAACCCCCACGAAUGCCUAGCCAAUUCAAGAGCAGAGCCAGAGGAGACAUGGUCAGCUUCACGGUGUCAGAGCUACAGCCUCUAAGAGCAGAGCCAGAGGACAUCCCACUGGACAUUGUUUGAGGAUCAACAUCUUCUUGUGAACAAGCCGGCUCAUAUGGUAUGUGCCAUUUUUCUUGUAUUUUUUUUUAUUUUCACCGGAUUGCAGUGAUACUCAAGUGUAAGCUUUGGUUACACGGUUCUUAUUUCUUGUUUGCUUUGCUCUAAGCAUCAACCAGCAGCCGUGCCUUUACAGUACUGGAGCUCUCGAGUCUGCUUUCUUCUGUGACAAAUAGUCUUAACAUUCUAACGAUUGCACUUUAUUGUUUCAGCAAGUUUCAGCAACAGUCCCUUCAUGGGUGGUUGGCUGGGUGCUAACAUUGUUCGUUUAGUCCUUCCCUUCCACUGCUCCUAGAUUAGUUUAUUCUAUGUAUUUAUGUUAUAAUUUGCACAGAUGUCAUGGUUUGUAAAUUGUAGCUGUUCAUCAAACCUGAUAAACUUUUCUUGAAGGUGUUAUUGAACACUGCAUACCUGUGUUCACCUAUUGUGCACUGCAUCAUUUGUCAUCCCUUAAUAUGAUUUAAACUAGGAUGUUGCAUACUUGUGUGCUUGUGACUGUGACCUGAUUUAAACAACUACAAACAGGUAAUUUACAACCACCUCUCCAGUACUUUUAGGCAAAAAAGAGUUAAUAAUUGCAUUUUGAGUAUGUAUAUGGUGACCAAAAGUAAUACCAGUUGAUAGAUUAAAUUUCCUGUUCUCUUGUAAAACAAAUAAAUUUUGUAAUUCUAUCCUAAAACAACUUAUGUUUAUUUAUUUUAACAUGGUAAUGGACGAUUUUCUGCUCCCCGCUGCCGUAGCCUCGCCAUCCCCGCCGCCGUCACCGCACCAUCCCCACCGACGCUGGUUUGGCUUAUACUUUUUAUUGGUGAAUGUACAGAUACAUUCCUUUUAUCUAAAGGUUACAUUGGGCAGCAUUUUUAAACAAAAAAAUAUUGGUGUUGAUGUGUUGCUGGUUUGGUAGGAUGUCAAAUGAUAGCAUCCUUUGGUUGAGAUGAUGAACAUGAUUUUACUGCCUGCAUCUUAUAGUAUCAAGUUUAGUAUUUUUUAUCUCAGAGUACAUGUUAAUUGUUCACACACAAACAAAUUUUUGAUUGGUUCCAUGGAAAAUCUUGGGUAAAGAGCCAGUUAUUGUUCUUAUUGGUCAUCUAUUUGUUCUUGCUCAUCUUGCACCUGAUGGAUAGACUCUGAAGGGAUUCGUUCUUGUUCUUGCUCAUUCUGCACCUGAUGGACAGACUCUGAAGGUAUGUUCAAUAAAAGAAACUAGCCCCCAUUGUCCUGUGUUCAGUCUUAUGCCCUGCUUUUUCAGGGCUAUAUGCUGAUUAAAUGUGAUCUGUACUUUUCACCCUGGGUUAUGCCACUACCGAGUCAAUUUAUAUGGAGUAUAGACUCAUUCUAGAGUUCAAUCUUGUUAUGAAUGCUUUAUAUAAUUGUUCCUGCCCGUAUCGUCUCCUUAUUUACCUAGGAGACAAGGUCAAAGCCGUUGUUCCUCCCUCCUUCCACCGUCGGCACUUACAAUGGCUCUGCCAAGGUGGGGGCGAAGAAGUAGGGACCCGCGCAGGUUGGUCCACGAUCUCCACCUUUCUGUUGCAGUUUUCCUGGUAGCUUGAGUGCUCCAUGUCGUGUUGUACUUUAUGUACUCGCUUAGUUUUGCUCGGGGUAUCGCGUGUGGCUGCGCUUGCAUACUGGCGGAUUGGUACAUUGUCAAGGGGAUCACGGUAUAGCUUGAGAUGAUCGUUAAAGUUAGGUUUGGUGAUUACUACUCUGCAUGGCCUCGGUGCGUCCUACAUAUUUGGGACUAGCCUAAUUAUGGUUAGAAAUUAUUGCCGGCAUUUUUGCUACUAUGGGAGUGUAAGCAUAAGAGGUCAUUCGUCAUAUAUUUACUGUCAGUUUGUAUUCUCAGCUGAGCAAGCUGGGGUUACAGUAAAAGUCCUUGAAUAAACUUUACAUUUUAUUGUAGUCACACUACAUGAAGUCGUUGUUAUCCACUGUGUCCAUGAUUCUGGGCCCUGUUUGAGAUAUAUUAUUGCGCGAUUAUUGUCGUGCAUUAUUGAUUUGAUUAUAGGGAUAAAUUAAAUAUUUUGAGAAAUAACCUUAACAUUAAUGAAGUACAAUAUUUGUUUUUGUUGACAAAAUGUACUUUUCAAAGCAUGGAGCAAAUAGUCCGAUGAAUAAGCUGAAAAGAACAUUGCCAGUCUUGUGCAUAUGUAGUCGAAUAUACCCCAUGAUGCUAGGUAAUUUUUUUGCUUUACUAAAAUAGAUUCCAAUUAAGUUUCAAUUUAUAACUCCUAUAAUUUACUACAAGUCACCAUGUUUUGUAAAACUAAUAUACAGUUGAAAAGGCAUGUUUCAAUCAUUAUCUCCAUAUAUUUAUUCAAAUAAGCAAUUAUACCAUUAUAAUAUCGUUCUAUUAGGUGCUAGGUUUAACAUGACCAAAUUUGCACAUGUAUUUUUCAGAGUGCACUUCUUAACAUAUAGAACCUUGGAUCUGUCUGGACUAGGAUCUUUAUAUUUCCUGUUCUAUUUGUAUAAAUCCAUAAAGUCACUUUUUACCUAUGUUAUUUAAUUUUUUAUUUCCUGUUAUAUUCGAUCCUACGGAAUUGGUCCAAGAGUGAGGGUCAUGCUGUAAUCUUUGUAUUUCCUGUUCUAUUUGUAUAGACCAAUAAAGUCACUUUUUACCUAUGUUAUUUAUUUUUUAUAUUUCCUGUUUUAAUGGGCUAGAAGCACUACAAUGGAUUAUUUUAAAGUAUGCAUCUUGAUUU